rnacentral:rRNA from 1 species
AGCGAACGCUGGCGGCGUGCCUAACACAUGCAAGUCGAACGUGAACGGGCUUCGGCCCUAGUAAAGUGGCGUACGGGUGAGUAACGCGUAGGUAAUCUACCCUAAAGUUUGGAAUAACCGGCCGAAAGGCUGGCUAAUACUGGAUAGAGCGACGGGAUCCGUAAUCGGAUCUUUCGGGAAAGGGAGCUCGUUAAGAGCCCUCGCUUUAGGAUGAGCCUGCGUCUCAUUAGCUAGUUGGCGGGGAAUGGCCCACCAAGGCUUUGAUGAGUAGCUGGUCUGAGAGGAUGAUCAGCCACACUGGAACUGAAACACGGUCCAGACUCCUACGGGAGGCAGCAGUGGGGAAUCUUGCGCAAUGGACGAAAGUCUGACGCAGCCACGCCGCGUGAGUGAUGACGGCCU